UACGGAAGGCAGCAGUGGGGAAUAUUGCACAAUGGGCGAAAGCCUGAUGCAGCUAUGCCGCGUGUAUGAAGAAGGCCUUAGGGUUGUAAAGUACUUUCAUCGGGGAGGAAAAAACAAAACUAAUAAUUUUAUUUCUUGACGUUACCCGAAAAAGAAGCACCGGCUAACUCCGUGCCAGCAGCCGCGGUAAUACGGAGGGUGCUAGCGUUAAUCAGAAUUACUGGGCGUAAAGAGCGCGUAGGUGGUUUUUUUAAGUCAGAUGUGAAAUCCCUAGGCUUAACCUGGAACUGCAUUUUGAAACUGAAAAACUAGAGUAUCGUAGAGGGAGGUAGAAUUCUAGGUGUAGCGGUGAAAUGCGUAGAUAUCUGGAGGAAUACCUGUGGCGAAAGCGGCCUCCUAAACGAAUACUGACACUGAGGGUGCGAAAGCGUGGGGAGCAAACAGGGAUUAGAUACC
rnacentral:rRNA from 1 species